rnacentral:misc_RNA from 1 species
CAUUCCGCGAGACAGAUUCAGAUGACUGAAGGCUGAAAUGAUAUUCUAGAAAAUUUUAUGCAAGUGCCUGAUCAUUUCAUCUUGAGUAAAGUCUCUAGCAUGCUGACAUUAAGGCCCAUUCAAUACUUUGCUGCUGCAGUUAGACUGUGAUCCACAGGAAAAAAAAAAGUGUGAAUAUCCUUGUCAUUCUUCAUAGAUUCAAUUAAGUCUGUGAAUUGUAUAG